rnacentral:rRNA from 1 species
UCGAGCGAAGCUUGUAGGUAGCAAUAUUUGCAAGUUUUAGCGGCGGAAGGGUGCGUAACACGUGGGUAAUUUACCAUAAAGACCGGAAUAACUUGCUGAAAGGCGAGCUAAUACUGGAUGUGACUGCGGGGAGGCAUUUCCCUGUUGUCAAAGCUGGGGACCGCAAGGCCUGGCACUUUUUGAUAAGCCCGCGGCCUAUCAGCUAGUUGGCGGGGUAAUGGCCCACCAAGGCUAAGACGGGUAGCUGGUCUGAGAGGACGACCAGCCACACUGGAACUGAGACACGGUCCAGACACCUACGGGUGGCAGCAGUCGAGAAUUUUUCACAAUGGGCGAAAGCCUGAUGGAGCGACGCCGCGUGGGGGAUGAAUGGCUUCGGUCCGUAAACCCCUGUCAUUCGGGAGCAAUGCCUGCGGAAUAACACUUCGCAGGUUGAUAGUACUGGAAGAGGAAGGGACGGCUAACUCUGUGCCAGCAGCCGCGGUAAUACAGAGGUCCCAAGCGUUGUUCGGAUUCACUGGGCGUAAAGGGUGCGUAGGUGGCUGGGUAAGCCUGAUGUGAAAUCUCGAAGCCUAACUUCGAAACUGCAUCGGAUACUAUCUUGCUUGAGGUCUGGAGGGGGGACUGGAAUUCUCGGUGUAGCAGUGAAAUGCGUAGAUAUCGAGAGGAACGCCAAUGGCGAAGGCUAGUCCCUGGACAGAUCCUGACACUGAGGCACGAAAGCUAGGGGAGCAAACAGGAUUAGAUACCCUGGUAGUCCUAGCUGUAAACGGUGCAUGUUUGCUG